UACGGAGGGGGCUAGCGUUGCUCGGAAUCACUGGGCGUAAAGCGCACGUAGGCGGCUUUUUAAGUCAGGGGUGAAAUCCUGGAGCUCAACUCCAGAACUGCCUCUGAUACUGGCGAUCUCGAGUCCGGGAGAGGUGAGUGGAACUGCGAGUGUAGAGGUGAAAUUCGUAGAUAUUCGCAAGAACACCAGUGGCGAAGGCGGCUCACUGGUCCGGUACUGACGCUGAGGUGCGAAAGCGUGGGGAGCAAACAGG
rnacentral:rRNA from 1 species